rnacentral:tRNA from 1 species
ACUGUUUUAGUAUAUAUAUUACCUUAGCUUUUCGUGCUAAAGAAGGUGCUAUGCACCAAGCAGCG